rnacentral:ncRNA from 1 species
GUGCUAGGGGAGCGAAAGCUGAGAGAGUAACCUUUGUUACUGACCCUCAUUACCUGAUCCGGAUCAUACCGGCGUAGGGAAGCGAUCA